AACGAACGCUGGCGGCAGGCUUAACACAUGCAAGUCGAGCGCCCCGCAAGGGGAGCGGCAGACGGGUGAGUAACACGUGGGAAUCUACCCAUCCCUACGGAACAACUCCGGGAAACUGGAGCUAAUACCGUAUACGCCCUUUGGGGGAAAGAUUUAUCGGGGAUGGAUGAGCCCGCGUUGGAUUAGCUAGUUGGUGGGGUAAAGGCCUACCAAGGCGACGAUCCAUAGCUGGUCUGGGAGGAUGAUCAGCCACAUUGGGACUGAGACACGGCCCAAACUCCUACGGGAGGCAGCAGUGGGGAAUAUUGGACAAUGGGCGCAAGCCUGAUCCAGCCAUGCCGCGUGAAUGAUGAAGGCCUUAGGGUUGUAAAGUUCUUUCACCGAUGAAGAUAAUGACGGUAGUCGGAGAAGAAGCCCCGGCUAACUUCGUGCCAGCAGCCGCCGUAA
rnacentral:rRNA from 1 species